rnacentral:rRNA from 1 species
UACGUAGGGGGGCAAGCGUUGUCCGGAUUUAUUGGGCGUAAAGAGCGUGUAGGCGGCCAUACAGGUCAGCUGUGAAAAACUCGAGGCUCAACCUCGAGACGUCGGUUGAAACCGUUUGGCUAGAGUCCGGAAGAGGAGAGUGGAAUUCCCGGUGUGAGCGGUGAAAUGCGCAGAUAUCGGGAAAGAACACCCGUGGCGAAGGCGGCUCUCUGGG